UACGAAGGGGGCUAGCGUUGCUCGGAAUCACUGGGCGUAAAGCGCACGUAGGCGGAUUGUUAAGUCAGGGGUGAAAUCCUGGAGCUCAACUCCAGAACUGCCUUUGAUACUGAAGAUCUUGAGUCCGGGAGAGGUGAGUGGAACUGCGAGUGUAGAGGUGAAAUUCGUAGAUAUUCGCAAAGAACACCAGUGGCGAAGGCGGCUCACUGGCCCGGUACUGACGCUGAGGCACGAAAGCGUGGGGAGCAAACAGG
rnacentral:rRNA from 1 species